AGGGAAUCUUCCACAAUGGACGCAAGUCUGAUGGAGCAACGCCGCGUGAGUGAAGAAGGUUUUCGGACCGUAAAGCUCUGUUGUUGGUGAAGAAGGAUAGAGGUAGUAACUGGCCUUUAUUUGACGGUAAUCAACCAGAAAGUCACGGCUAACUACGUGCCAGCAGCCGCGGUAAUACGUAGGUGGCAAGCGUUGUCCGGAUUUAUUGGGCGUAAAGCGAGCGCAGGCGGAAGAAUAAGUCUGAUGUGAAAGCCCUCGGCUUAACCGAGGAAUUGCAUCGGAAACUGUUUUCUUGAGUGCAGAA
rnacentral:rRNA from 1 species